rnacentral:rRNA from 1 species
CCUACGGGUGGCUGCAGUGAGGAAUAUUGGUCAAUGGCCGCAGGGCUGAACCAGCCAAGUCGCGUGAGGGAUGACGGUCCUAUGGAUUGUAAACCUCUUUUGUCAGGGAGCAAAGGGCGCCACGUGUGGCGCUUUGCGAGUACCUGAAGACAAAGCAUCGGCUAACUCCGUGCCAGCAGCCGCGGUAAUACGGAGGAUGCGAGCGUUAUCCGGAUUUAUUGGGGUAAAGGGGUGCGCGGGCGGAAUGUCAAGUCAGCGGUAAAAUUUCGGGGCUUAACCCCGUCGUGCCGUUGAAACUGGCGUGCUUGAGUGAGCGAGAAGGAGGCGGAAUGCGAGGUGUAGCGGCGAAAUGCAGAGAUAUCACGCAGAACUCCGAUGGCGAAGGCAGCAUACCGGCGCUCAACUGACGCUCAUGCACGAAAGCGUGGGUAGCGAACAGGAUUAGAUACCCCAGUAGUC